GAAGAAGUGAAGAAGAACCUGCUCAGCGGGUUGGGCCUGUGGUUGCCCAGCAGCCUGGUGAUGAACGUCGUCGUCAAGAUGAACCACCAGCUGGAAAUCAGGAUAUUAAUCCUGGUCAGGAGAGAAAUGAGGGAGCACCUGCAGUUCAAGGGCCUGACCUGGAAGUUGAUUUCCAGGAACUAGAUGAGCCAAAGACUGGGCAUGCGCGUGGAGAUGGUCCUGAUGGCCAGGGGAAGAGUCUGCUGAAUCCAGAGUGUAUGAAACUGCCUGAAGCAGGUGAAGGGCAAUCAGACUCAAAAGAAGGCAAACUGAAAUGAUGCAGGCUAUUCUUACAUUGAACAUGUGACUGUUAAAAUUU